AGCCACGUAGUAAACACAAAGCGAACUAUUCUUUCGCCUUUUACUAAAGAAUACCGUGUGCUUGCUACUCAAUAGUGGUAUGUGUCUAUUUUUGGAGGGCUGAUCUCAUUAGAGCAC